rnacentral:rRNA from 1 species
UACGAAGGGGGCUAGCGUUGCUCGGAAUUACUGGGCGUAAAGGGCGCGUAGGCGGAUAUUUAAGUUAGAGGUGAAAGCCCAGGGCUCAACCCUGGAAUAGCCUUUAAUACUGGAUAUCUUGAGUUCGGGAGAGGUGAGUGGAACUCCGAGUGUAGAGGUGAAAUUCGUAGAUAUUCGGAAGAACACCAGUGGCGAAGGCGACUUACUGGACACAUAUUGACGCUGAGGUGCGAAAGCGUGGGGAGCAAACAGG